rnacentral:rRNA from 1 species
GGUUGAUCCUGCCAGUAGUCAUAUGCUUGUCUCAAAGAUUAAGCCAUGCAAGUCUAAGUAUAAGUUUAUACACAACGAAACUGCGAAUGGCUCAUUAAAACAGUUAUAGUUUCUGUGAAAAUAAUUACUACACGGAUAUCUGUGGUAAUUCUGGAGCUAAUACGUGCAUCAACACUUGGCUUCACAGCUUGAGUGGCGCUUAUUAGAUAAAGAACCGACCCAUGCUUGCAUGGUUUUCUGGUGAUCCAUAAUAACUUUAGUGAAUCGCAUUGCUUCGGCUAGCGAUAGUUCG